rnacentral:snRNA from 1 species
AUGCUCACUUCGGCCGCACAUAUACUAAAAUAGGAAUGAUACAGAGAAGAUUAGCAUGGCCCCUGUGCAAGGAUGACAUGCAAAUUUGUGAAGUGUUCCAUAUUUUU